AAACUGCAUCUGAUUCGGAAGCUUGAGAAAUCACUUUCUCCUGAGAAAACUAACAGCACAUCCCAUGAGGUAUACGAGCAAUGUGUAAUUGAUAGCCAGAUAUGGCUAACAAAAAAUUCUAACCGAAAUCAGAAGUUCUAAAUCACUGGCGACUAUCCUACCCUCUGAGGUAUAUUGAAAACGACAAUACAGCGACUAUCUCAGAAUUCUUUGUUAAAUGGCCAAUAAUUCACACUGACAUUGCCCCAGAAUUGAUCAAUUAUGACUUUGGACAAAUCCAUGCAUGCAAUAAGGAUCUAGAUGUUGCAGCAAAAUUUGAUGGAAUAUUCCAAUCUAUUUAUGAAAAGAAAAAGAAGUAUUUAAGUGUAGCUGACUGCACAAUUAAGAGUCUACUGGAUACGGAAAUAACCAUUGAUUCAAAAAUUGCUGUUCAGUUAUUUCUGUUUCCAUCACUUGUGCCUCCUCGCGGACCAUUGAGUUAGAAAACUAAUGGAGGAAAUAUAAUGGUAGAGGGGGUAAGAAUUUUUGUAGACGGAAGUUGCCAC